rnacentral:rRNA from 1 species
UACGGAGGAGGCAAGCGUUAUCCGGAAUUAUUGGGCGUAAAGCGUCCGCAGGUGGCACCUCAAGUCUGCUGUCAAAGACCGGGGCUUAACCCCAGAAAGGCAGUGGAAACUGAAGUGCUAGAGUGCAGUAGGGGUAGAGGGAAUUCCCGGGUGUAGCGGUGAAAUGCGUAGAGAUCGGGAAGAACAUCGGUGGCGAAAGCGACUUCCUGGACCAAUACUGACGCUCAUGUGCGAAAGCGUGGGGAGCAAACAGG